rnacentral:lncRNA from 1 species
GGGGGACAGUUCUCACAAGAUAUGGUUGGUGACAUGCGGCCUGUGGCUUUGUCGAGCGCUUGGAAGUGGUGUGCUGUGAAUGAACUAUAGUUCUGGAUUGCCGCCUAGUUGCCGCGCCUCUUCGCCCUCCCCAUGGUGCCUUGCGCGAUGUAUAUGGCAUUCGUUUGUGUGAGUGUGGCCUCAUUUCGUAGUGUUUUUGCAUUGUUGUGUUUUGUAUUUUGUUGUUGUUUGUUGUUUUGUUGUAUUUCGCUUUGGUUUUGUUUUCUACCCAUGUCAUCGUUGUUGGUGAUUCUGUACGAUCUUGGAUUGCGUGUAUAUAUAUGUAUGUGUGUAUGUAGCGGCCGG